rnacentral:rRNA from 1 species
AACAAACGCUGGCGGCGUGCCUAACACAUGCAAGUCGUACGAGAAAGGGUCCUUCGGGACCUGAGUAAAGUGGCGCACGGGUGAGUAACGCGUGGAUAAUCUACCCUUCAGUUGGGAACAACUCAUCGAAAGGUGGGCUAAUACCGAAUAACACUGCAAGACCCUGGUUGAGCAGUCAAAGAGAGCCUCUGCUUGCAAGCCCUCGCUGAAGGACGAGUCCGCGUACCAUUAGCUAGUUGGUAGGGUAAUGGCCUACCAAGGCGACGAUGGUUAGCUGGUCUGAGAGGAUGAUCAGCCACACUGGAACUGAGACACGGUCCAGACUCCUACGGGAGGCAGCAGUGAGGAAUCUUGCGCAAUGGGGGAAACCCUGACGCAGCAACGCCGCGUGAGUGAGGAAGGCCUUCGGUCGUAAGCUCUGUCAGUUGGUAAGAAAUGCUUGAGAGUUAAUACCUUUCUAAGCUUGACGGUACCAACCAGAGGAAGACACCGGACUAACCUCCG